UACGUAGGUGGCAAGCGUUGUCCGGAAUUAUUGGGCGUAAAGCGUGUGCAGGUGGCUCUGUAAGUUGGAUGUGAAAGCCCCGGGCUCAACUCGGGAAGUGCAUUCAAAACUACAAAGCUUGAGUAAGGAAGAGGGUCGUGGAAUUCCAGGUGUAGUGGUGAAAUACGUAGAGUAAUCUGGAGGAACACCGGUGGCGAGGCGGCGACCUGGUCCUAUACUGACACUCAUACACGAAAGCGUGGGGAUCAAACAGG
rnacentral:rRNA from 1 species